rnacentral:rRNA from 1 species
GACAGAGGCCCCGAGCGUUAGGCGGAAUCACUGGGCUUAAAGCGUGUGUAGGCGGAUCGUUAAGUGUCUUGUGAAAUCCCACGGCUCAACCGUGGAACUGCUCGACAUACUGGCGAUCUUGAGCAACCUAGGGGCGAGCGGAACAAAUGGUGGAGCGGUGAAAUGCGUAGAUAUCAUUUGGAACGCCAAUGGUGAAAACAGCUCGCUGGGGGUUUGCUGACGCUGAGACACGAAAGCCAGGGGAGCGAACGGGG